rnacentral:lncRNA from 1 species
CGCGUCGUGACCGGAAACGCGUCAUCGCGUCAACGCGUCAUCACCGGUCCAUGUUUACCGAACGCUGUUCGCCAUUCACUAAAUUUCUCGCAGUCUCUGGCAAAAUGAGACGGUUAGAAACAUAUUUCAUGCGACCUGACACGAUCUGAUCUCCAGCGGUUUCCGAUCGCUGGAGAUCGCACGAUCUGGUCUCCACUCUGUCCGCAACGCAACAUGAACACAACCGUGGAGCCGAAGGAGAGCCAGCAGAUGGCGUUGCUGAACUCGGGAGAGGGAGAGAUGGAGUCACGGGGGUCCGCGACCAAGUCACUCGAUGCCAGCGGAAUUCUGGGGCGUAAACUCGACGAGCUGAUCAGGACACUCGGGCAGCGGGAGAGCAAGCUGACCGAGGCCGUUCAGACCCUCGGCACUCUGGGUGAGGAAGUGCGCAGUAUGCGGCUACAGCUCCAGAGGCAGGAAUCCGAGAUUCUGAAGGAUCAGGGAAUGCUGCGGAACAAACAGAACCAGGACGCGACCCGGAAGCAAACAGCACACGCCUUCAAGACCAGCGAGGCCUACAAGCGCAGGGGACCCGGUCAGCCACCAAGCCGAGGAGAGAUGUCCAACUCCCGGCCGCCUCUGAGGAGGCUGUCAGUGAGGCUGGUGGACUGUGGCUGCUCCCUGGGGCCAAACGGGACACUUUCGGUCCUGCGGGGGGACGGCAGGGACUUUCAUGACCCCGAGUCGCGUCGCCAUAUUCUGAACGUUGGUCCCGCAGAGGACCAGGGCGAUGGCGGCAGCACGUCGGGAGAGCCGGCGCAGGAUUCCCUCAUCUGCUCCCUGGAGAGCCUCGCGGGACAUCGGAAGAGCCACCCGGGCGAGCCUGGCCCCCGAAACACUACCGCUGCGCCAAGUCCUUCACCCAGCUGGGCAACCUCAGGCAGCCACCGCGGCGCCAUGAAGCUCCACCUGCGCACCCACGGCGACGAGGAGGUUCCACGGCGGCAAGAAGCCCUGCACGCAGGCCGACGGGAAGACCGAGCUGCGCCAUCGCAGGCGCCCACGGCCUGAUCAGCUCGCCGGUUCCAGCUUCUCUGCACAACCGUGCCGUCUGCGAUGUCACAUUUGCCCGUGGAAUUGCUGUUAAGAAGCAGGCAUAGUGCCGGGAGAAAUGGAGGAGAGGGGAUCUGUUUUGUACCUGUAGCCGUAUUUUGGUCAAAUACAGCACGUUUGUCCAUUGAUUUCAUGCAUGGGGUUUUUCUUUUUUCUUUUUUUACACCACACCCUUGAAAAAUAGGAGCCUCACCAACACUUAGGUUCUAGCGCAUACGUUAGGGCUGCCACACGUCCGUUUAAAUCCGGAAUACGGUGUUUCAUCAGCACAGGGCAGCGUUUGUCCUCCGAUCGGACUGAGUAGUUGAUGUGAACGGCGCGGAUGGAACCACUGUGUGGCAGCGGCAGCCUUGCGGGUACGGAAGCAGAUCGUUCCACAGCUGCGGAGCUCUAUAAGAGAAGGAUCUGCACCCGGCUGUGACCGUCUGUACACUGAGCCACACCCUUCGCACGCAGGGGGCGUGACCGAUUGUAAAUUACCUUAAAGUUCACUGAGGUACUGCAGGGCGAGACCAUUUAGAGCUCUAUAGGUCAAAAGUAGGAUUUUGAAGUCAAUCCUAAAUUUGAAGACUGGGGUGAUGUGGUCAAAUUUCCUGGUUCUGGUUAGAACUCUGGCUGCAGCAUUCUGUACUAGCUGGAGUUUACUCAUGCACCUACUAGAGCAUCCAGACAGUAAUGCGUUGCAGUAAUCUAACCUUGAUGUUAUAAAGGCAUGGACCAACUUUUCUGCAUUGUGCAUUGAGAUCAUGUUUCUUGUUUUUGCAAUAUUCCUGAGGUGAAAGAAUGCUAUUCUAGUGACAUUAUCUACAUACGAAUCGAAUGAGAGACAUGUGUUGAUGAGGACACCUAGAUCCUUCACUUCAGUACUUGGUGAGAUAGAACGGCUAUCCAGGGUUAUGAUGUAGUCAGCCAGCUUACGACUGGCUGCUUGAGGCCCAAGUACGAGACCUUCUGUCUU